UUCUAAUUGGAGUUCCCUGCAUACAUGAGGUCUUCUGAAGAUUCUCCAGAAAUCAAGAGGAUAUAUUCAAGGAUGAAUAAAAAAUUCACAGUGUUUCUGCCUUGUAACAUGUCUUACUUUCACCUCAUGCUGGGCAUGGGAUUAGGAAUGUGACUUGUCUUUCAUGUUGCAGUUGCCACUGCUGAAAUAUACCACCCACUGUUUUGCUGUGCUCACAUCCACUGUUCGGUCUCCCGAAACACUCAGCAGUUGAUGAAUGCGAAUGGGUGCAAUUUUUUCUGUACAUAGGAAUUCAGUUACACACUUAUGCUUUAUAUGCUCUUCCUUGUCAGAUAACAUUUUGUCAGACUGCUCCCUUGCAGGCCAGUGAAUGUUCAGGACUCUGUGAGUCCCUAACUCCUGGAUAUGCAACAGUUUCUUGGUCAGAAUCAACACAGUCUCCAAACAUUCAAAAGUAUUUAGUGAAAGAUUAGCAGAAUGAAUAAGACUCAGGGUAUUAAUUCAGUGUAUAAUAUAUAUUCAGUCUCACUAAAUAGAAAUUUGGGAAGAUGUCUGAAAAGUGAAAUGAUUCUACACUGAUGAUGGUGCUUCUACACUGAUGCUGGAUGAUGAACUACCCAUAAAAUGCUUGCAUUUUGUCUUUAAAAAUGAGUUGGUUGUUUUACUUUUUUUUUGGUUAUGUUAUACUUUCUCCCAGGCCUUUGUAAAUAGUAAUUGUAUGAUUUUAAGAUUCCUUAACCAAACAGAAGAAGAAAAAGUGCUCUCAGGGAAGUGUUUUUGGAAAGGGGCGCACACACAAAAAAGUGAGAGCUGAAGAAAUUAAAGCAAAAGCUGAAAGAAGUGUUUUAUCAGUGCAAGUCAGAAAACUGAAAGAACCAUCAAAGGUGACUAGAAUAAAGAAACUGUGACUGUGUGAAGAAUUCUAGUUCAAAGUAAUGGAAUAUGCAUAGAAACGGAAGGAAUCUUGAGGUUACUGAGAGUCCCAGCAAUCCUGACCAACAUGUUUUGGAAAUCUCAUUAUAGGAGAUGAUUCUAAUAUAUCCAGUUAAUCUUACCUAAAAAGAGAUAGAGUCUCUUUUUAUCUCAAUUGCCAUAUCACUUUGAAAACUACAUUAUUUGACAAUGAAGCUAAUUUUUCUUGGAUUCUAUUCAGUUGUUUCUAACCUGUAUUGACAAAAUCAGAAUGGUGUCGGUCAGAGGGAACCUUUGGAGGCCAUCUGGACCAACAUCUCUGCUUGAGCAGGGCACAUAGACCAGGGCUAUGACCUUGCUUAUGAAUACUUCCGAAGCAGGAGAAACCCUCCCAACCUUUCUGUGGGACCAAUGCCAGUGCUUGGACACCUGCCCAGUGUAAAAAAAAAAAAAAAAAAAAAAAAUUUCCUGAUGUUCAGACAGAGCCUACUGUGUUUCAGUUUGUACCCACUCUUGUCCUCAUGCUGAGUACUGCUGGAAAGAGCCUGGCUCUGUCUUUGCAUUUUCUGUUCUGAUGUUUGUAGACAUUGACAAGAUCUAUGUCCUGAUUGUCCUAACUCUUUCAGCAUCACCUUGUAUGAGAGGUGCUCCAAUCCUUCAAACAUCUUAGUGAUCUUUUGCUGUGCUCUAUC
ensembl:lncRNA